GACGAACGCUGGCGGCGUGCUUAACACAUGCAAGUCGAACGAAAAUACCAAGCUUGCUUGGUUGAUUUGUGGCGAACGGGUGAGUAACACGUGAGUAACCUGCCCCUUACUUUCCUGGAUAACUGCUCGAAAGGGUAGCUAAUACGGGAUAUUCUGACCAGCCUGCAUGGGUUGGUUUGGAAAGGUUGUUUUUCUGGUAAGGGAUGGGCUCGCGGCCUAUCAGCUUGUUGGUGGGGUGAUGGCCUACCAAGGCUUUGACGGGUAGCCGGCCUGAGAGGGUGGACGGUCACACUGGGACUGAGAUACGGCCCAGACGCCUACGGGAGGCAGCAGUGGGGAAUAUUGCACAAUGGGCGCAAGCCUGAUGCAGCGACGCCGCGUGAGGGAUGAAGGCCUUCGGGUUGUAAACCUCUUUCGUCAGGGAACAAGGCACUGCUUUUUUGGUGGUGUUGAGGGUACCUGGAUAAGAAGCGCCGGCUAACUACGUG
rnacentral:rRNA from 1 species